rnacentral:rRNA from 1 species
CUUUUCUUGUAUAGAUUUAGGAAGUAUGACCUGCCCAAUGAAUAAUUUAAAUGGCCGCGGUAUUAUGACCGUGCAAAGGUAGCAUAAUCAAUAGUCUUUUAAUUGGAGGCUGGAAUGAAUGGUUGGACGAGACAAUAACUAUCUUAAGUUAAGUUAAUUAGAAUUUAAUUAUUAAGUUAAAAAGCUUAAAUUUUUUUUUGGGACGAGAAGACCCUAUAGAGUUUAAUAUUUAUUGAAAUUAAGAAUUGUUAGUAGGCACUAAAAAUUUUAAUUAAUAUUUAGUUGGGGUGAUUGAAAGAUAAUAACAACUCUUUAUGAAUUUUUGUGGAUGAAUUGAUUUAUUGUUGAUCCAAUAUUAUUGAUUAUAAGACUAAAUUACCUUAGGGAUAACAGCGUAAUUUUCUUUGAGAGUUCUAAUCGACAGGAGAGAUUGCGA